rnacentral:rRNA from 1 species
UACGGGGGGGGCAAGCGUUGUUCGGAAUUACUGGGCGUAAAGGGCUCGUAGGCGGCCAACUAAGUCAGACGUGAAAUCCCCCGGCUUAACCAGGGAACUGCGUCUGAUACUGGAUGGCUUGAGUUUGGGAGAGGGAUGCGGAAUUCCAGGUGUAGUGGUGAAAUGCGUAGAGAUCGGCAGGAACACCCAGGGGGAAACCAGCCGACUGGGCAAGUGCUGACGCUGAGGUGCGAGAGCGUGGGGAGCGAACCGG